UAGUGUGUCUUAUUGGUAUCGUCUUGAUUGCCUUACUCUUACUGAGGAAAAAGCUAUCUAGUGAAGAACAAAUAGCUGCUCCAAUUUACGAGGAAGUAGGUCUUUCAGGAAAUGACAUUCAACUCGAGUCCAAUGAUGCAUAUGGAAAGGCUGUUAGAUGCUCCAAGGGUAUUCAACUACAAUCUAACCAGGCUUAUGAACUAGCUAUAUAGCUCAAUUACAAGCUCAUCAAAGGAUAUGGAUUUUAACCAGACGUAGAAAGUCAUAAUAUAGAACUGUUGUAGUAGCUCGAGAUACUAGUUGAUUCAUACUAUAAUAACUGAACUCAUUGUAGAAUCAAUUGCAAUGAUCAAUGCCAUGCAUGCAUACAGUAUUUGAUAUAAAUAUGGCACUGCAUGCAGAUAAUGCCAGUAUAUGAGCACGCAGCACUGCAUGUGGUUUACAG